rnacentral:tRNA from 1 species
CAGAGAGUAGUCUAAUCCAUGACCUUAGCUUUGGGAGUUAAAAGUAGGGGUUGAAGUCCCUUCUCUCUGA